rnacentral:rRNA from 1 species
UACAGAGGGUGCAAGCGUUAAUCGGAAUUACUGGGCGUAAAGCGUGCGUAGACGGUUAUGUAAGUCGGGUGUGAAAGCCCCGGGCUCAACCUGGGAAUUGCAUUCGAGACUGCAUAGCUAGGGUGCGGAAGAGGGAAGCGGAAUUUCCGGUGUAGCGGUGAAAUGCGUAGAUAUCGGAAGGAACACCAGUGGCGAAGGCGGUUCUCUGGGCCUGACCUGACGCUGAGGAGCGAAAGCGUGGGGAGCGAACAGG